UACGGAGGAUGCAAGCGUUAUCCGGAUUUAUUGGGUUUAAAGGGUCCGCAGGUUGUUUGAUAAGUCAGUGGUGAAAGUCUGUCGCUUAACGGUAGGAUUACCAUUGAUACUGUUAGACUUGAAUAUGGAUGAGGUAGGCGGAAUGUGUAGUGUAGCGGUGAAAUGCAUAGAUAUUACACAGAACACCGAUUGCGAAGGCAGCUUACUAAUCCAUCAUUGACGCUGAGGCACGAAAGCGUGGGGAUCAAACAGGAUUA
rnacentral:rRNA from 1 species